rnacentral:rRNA from 1 species
UACGUAGGGGGCUAGCGUUAUCCGGAAUUAUUGGGCGUAAAGAGCUCGUAGGCGGUUUGUCGCGUCUGCCGUGAAAGUCCGGGGCUCAACUCCGGAUCUGCGGUGGGUACGGGGCAGACUAGAGUGAUGUAGGGGGAGACUGGAAUUCCUGGUGUAGCGGUGAAAAUGCGCAGAUAUCAGGAGGAACACCGAUGGCGAAGGCAGGUCUCUGGGCAUUAACUGACGCUGAGGAGCGAAAGCAUGGGGAGCGAACAGG